GCUUACGGCCAUACCAACCUGGCUAUGCCCGAUCUCGUCUGAUCUCGGAAGCUAAGCAGGUUUGGGCCUGGUUAGUACUUGGAUGGGAGACUCCUGGGAAUACCAGGUGCUUUAAGCU
rnacentral:rRNA from 1 species